CCCGGCGCGGCCGCGGGAGGGAGCGGGGCCGGGCUCGCUCGGUGGCGGCGGCGGUGGAGACUCCCGGUGCCCCCCCCCGCGCUGAGCAGCGCAGGGACGGGGUUCCUCUGCUGCGGGCGCCCCCGGAAAGCUGUUCUUUAUCUACCGGAGUGAAAGUGAAAGCGCUGAGGAGGCUGGACACGCCGAGUGGGGGGUAUCACCAGCCUGCAUGUUUUACCUGUGGAAGGAGAAGAUGAAGUUCUAUCAAAGUAGGACUCACCCCUUCUUGGUCUGUAAUGUUAUCCCAAAAUAUUCACCCACUCCUGCUGCUGCAGGAGAAACAACAAAGCAAUGUUUGGGGCAGGGAGAGAGCGACAGUUCAGGAAGAGCUUGGGUGACGUGUCCGUGGCACUUCAGGGUGGGUAUUUGUGCAACUGCUACUUGUUUCUCCUCUAGGAGAUGAGCCUCAAGCCUGCCCACAUUCCCCUCGGCUUCACUUACUGGGGGGGGCUAUUCCUGUAACAGAUGAAGUCAGCACAACUCUGAAGUAAUGGCAUGAAUCAAAUCCAAGUCCCUCCUGGCUUUGCCAGUGCAAACCCUGGGGUUCCCUGCCUCUUCCUGGUACUGUCAGUGCUGCUUGUCCCUGCACAGGUGAGAGGUGCUGCAUAAGGAUCUUAGACAAAGCUUGGCUUUUCAGCCUUCUUAACCUUAGUAUGCAUUUAAUGCUAUUAACGGCAACAUCCUUCUUAAAUACUUAGUGCAGUUCCUGGAGGCUUUUCUUUUCCGACUUCAUUCCUGUUUAUCCAACUCUCCUUCCCAUGACUGGAAGCAAAAACUCCCCAGCAGGAAAAUCUUGCCCCUGUGCCACAUCCCCUUGGAUCCCAGCCCCAUGUUUGCUCCCUGCACACCCCGGCUGGCGGCCAAAACAGCCCCUCCAGCCAGGCCCGGCACCGUCCGGAGGAAAGUCCCUCAACGGUUCAGCCUGCGGCUGAACAGCAGGACAGGCUCCCUCUGGCUGGUCUCUCCUCCUCAAUGAAUGAAUGAAUGAAAAUAUUGGCCAGCGUUUCUGGUGGAGCUGCAUAUGCCAGGACAUCUAUUUAACACAGGCUGCAUCUUCCAGCCUAACUGAAACAAAGCACAGCCCUGCCGUAUCUGAGUCGUGGGAGCUCUCUCCAACCUCAAGAGCUUCACUGGGUUUGAGCCUGAAUUUCUUUCCCUGAACUUUGAGUUAUUCAGUAGCGGAUUUAGAGGUUUCCUGUAUUUCACAAAAGCAUUUCCUAACAAUUAAUGCUUCCAAGAAGCCAUCUGUUGACAUGUUGACAUUAAAAAAGUAUUUUCUUUUUCUUGUUCCCUUGGCCACAGUGAGUUAGUUCAUUUGGGAUUACAAUGGUAGCACAGUAGGACUUGGUUUGUCUUUUCCUUGCAUGAAAUUUUGUUGAAAGUGUGAAUUUUGUGUCUCAUUUGAAUGAGACAAAGUAAAAUCCAUUUUUAAAAUGAAAGUAUGUUAACAUUUUCUUCUCUUCCCCAGCCUCAAAGAUUUACAAAAUCUUGGCAGUUCAGUGGCUCCUGUAGAAAUGCUUAAAUUAAAGCCUUUUCAUCUCUAUACUGAGGCCAGUUUUCAGAGGAAACAUGACAUUUGUGUUCAUGCUCUCAGUGCCCAACUCGGCCUCCUCUCAGUGGCAGCAGGAUGCCCUGGCCAAUGCCAACCUCCUCUGCCGCAGAGAUGGAGGUCCUGCAACGGGCCAGUGCAGCGUGUGGCUGCCAGGCUGCAGAGACCUGAGAAGGAUCCAAAGUGGUCUCUAGCCCAGUGUCUGAGCUGGGUGAACCUGAAUGGAGUGAGGAGAUACAGCCGGGAGGAAGCUGUGCUGCGGGUGCCGGAUUUCCCAACGGUCAUGGGCAGGAUCAGCGUUCGGUGAGACAGAAAAGCGGGUUUCCUCCAUUUUUCACGACAUUUCUGUGCCGGCUGGGGCCAGGGCAGGGAUGAGAGUGCAGGGCAGUGCUCGGCGGGCACCGGCUGAGGGUGCAGCCCCGCCGUGGGGCACGGCUCGCCAUGCCCGCUCCGGGCUGCCCGCCCACACAACUCCCGCCGUGCCGUGUCGCGCCCGCACCGCAACUCCCGCCUUUCCGUGCCGUGCCGCGCCCGCCCGCACCGCAACUCCUGCCUUGCUGCGCCCGCCCGCACCACAAUUCCCGCCGUGUCGCG